GACGUAGGGGGCGAGCGUUGUCCGGAUUUACUGGGCGUAAAGCGCGCGUAGGCGGUCCGUUAAGUGCACACGUGAAAGCUCCAGGCUCAACUUGGAAAUUGCUUUGCAUACUGGCGGGCUGGAGGGACGCAGAGGUCUGUGGAAUUCCUGGUGUAACGGUGAAAUGUGUUGAUAUCAGGAGGAACACCCAUGGCGAAGGCAGCAGACUGGGCGUUUCCUGACGCUGAGGCGCGAAAGCGUGGGUAGCAAACAGG
rnacentral:rRNA from 1 species